AUGAAAUCAGGGCAGAGACAAAGUAGACAGCACUGAUUCCACUGGCAUAUCAAUUUAGGGAAAGUAGUAAGCUGCCCAGAUGUUGGCCGAGCUCGAGAACAGUGAACAUUCAGGCCACACGUGCGCAUUGAGUCACCAACUCUGUGCCUCGAAGUGAGCUGGGGACAGGAAGGGUUUUACCAGAAUUAAAACGCAGUGUCUGUGUGUGUUCAAGGAAAGAGGCUAGAAUUCUAAAAUCUUAGGGGCUAGUCUGGAUCACAGAAUUGAGUGAAGAGAUUUCAUUCCAUGUGUUGCCCUAUCCGCUCAACAAACACAUCCCAAGCACUUGCUGGGGUCAGACACCUGCCCCACCCCUCCAUCUCACUCCCAUCAGGCCAUCCAGGGGAGCCGGGUGAGAACGAGAAAAAAGAAGACACCGCCCUCGCCCUCCUGUUCAGGGAGGUUCACAUCUAGAAGGUUAAGAGAUCUUUGUGCUAAAGGCCCUCUGCGAAGUGCCUGAGACACAAAAAUAAGACGGGUUCGCUGUCUUCUCAGCACCCAAGAUGUGUUCUGUUAUGAAAUACUUAUUUUUUGGUAACGAUUUGUUUCCCGCCGUCUCACUCCCUGCACAGCUCUCGCGGCCGACUCGGCGGCCGCCGGGACCGAGUCGGCCGCACAGUAGGCGGUCAAACCCCCGCGGCGGGAAGGAAGUGCAGUGGAGUCGCCGCGGGCUCCCGUUCUGUCUUUUCAGCCGCGAGAAUGACAGCUGCAGCGGGACGCCUGGAGGUCAAGACCGACGACAGGAACAUGACAGGAGCUGCAGCUGUGACUGCCGGUUGAGCGAUGGAUGGCAGGAAGACCUUGGCCUGAAGACCCUUCCUCCCCACAAGCCUGCUCCUGGGCCUGCAGGUCUAUGUUAGAAACAUUCAUUCCUUUGCCACUGUCCUUGCUAGGAAGGCCUUUCAGGAUUUUGAGCAAAGUUAUGACCCAGUCUGACUGAUGUUAUGACCAUUUCCCUUCUCAACUGGGAAUUGACUGUGGAUGGAGGGAGGAGUGACACCAAGAGCCAAAGCAGGGAGACAGGUACACCCGUUGAGAGGCUCCUGCAAUC
rnacentral:lncRNA from 1 species